rnacentral:rRNA from 1 species
AACGUAGGAGACAAACGUUAUCCGGAGUUACUGGGCGUAAAGGGCGUGUAGGUGGUUUCGUAAGUCUGGCGUGAAAUAUCUCGGCUUAACCGAGGCAGGUCGUCGGAUACUGCGGGACUAGAGGACGGUAGAGGCGUGUGGAAUUCCGGGUGUAGUGGUGAAAUGCGUAGAGAUCCGGAGGAACACCAGUGGCGAAAGCGACUUCCUGGACCAGAACUGACGAUCAGGCACGAAAGCGUGGGGAGCAAACAGG